rnacentral:rRNA from 1 species
UUGCGGUUAAAAAGCUCGUAGUUGGAUUUCUGCUGAAAGCGCUCGGUCCGCACUAUGUGCGUGUAUCUGGUGCGAUUUUGGCAUCCUUUUGAAAGACUCGUCUGCGCUUGAUUGCGUUGUCCAGAAUUCAAAACCUUUACUUUGAGGAAAUUAGAGUGUUCACGGCAGGCAUCAGCCUUGAAUAUAUUAGCAUGGAAUAAUAAGAUAGGAUUUUGGUUCUAUUUUUUUGGCUCCUAGGACCAGAAUAAUGAUCGAUAGGGAUAAUUGGGGGCAUUUGUAUUAACGCGUCAGAGGUGGAAUUCUUGGAUUGCGUUACGACAAACUACUGCGAAAGCACUUGCCAAGGGUGUUUUCAUUGAUCAAGAACGAAAGUAUGGGGAUCGAAGAUGAUUAGAUACCGUCGUAGUCUAUACCAUAAACUAUGCCCUACUAGAGAUUGGAGGUCGUUCUUUUUAUGACUCCCUUCAGCACCCUCAUGAGAAGUCAAAGUCUUUGGGUUCCGGGGGGGAGUAUGG